CCUACGGGGCGCUGCAGUGGGGAAUAUUGGACAAUGGGCGAAAGCCUGAUCCAGCCAUGCCGCGUGUGUGAAGAAGGCCUUCGGGUUGUAAAGCACUUUCAGUGGGGAAGAAAGCCUUGGGGCUAAUACCCUCGAGGAAGGACAUCACCCACAGAAGAAGCACCGGCUAACUCCGUGCCAGCAGCCGCGGUAAUACGGAGGGUGCGAGCGUUAAUCGGAAUUACUGGGCGUAAAGCGCGCGUAGGCGGUCUGAUAAGCCGGUUGUGAAAGCCCCGGGCUCAACCUGGGAACGGCAUCCGGAACUGUCAGGCUAGAGUGCAGGAGAGGAAGGUAGAAUUCCCGGUGUAGCGGUGAAAUGCGUAGAGAUCGGGAGGAAUGCCAGUGGCGAAGGCGGCCUUCUGGACUGACACUGACGCUGAGGUGCGAAAGCGUGGGUAGCAAACAGGAUUAGAUACCCGGGUAGUC
rnacentral:rRNA from 1 species